GACGAACGCUGGCGGCGUGCUUAACACAUGCAAGUCGAACGGAAAGGCCCUGCUUUUGUGGGGUGCUCGAGUGGCGAACGGGUGAGUAACACGUGAGUAACCUGCCCUUGACUUUGGGAUAACUUCAGGAAACUGGGGCUAAUACCGGCUAGGAGCUCCUGCUGCAUGGUGGGGGUUGGAAAGUUUCGGCGGUUGGGGAUGGACUCGGGGCUUAUCAGCUUGUUGGUGGGGUAGUGGCUUACCAAGGCUUUGACGGGUAGCCGGCCUGAGAGGGUGACCGGCCACAUUGGUACUGAGAUACGGCCCAGACUCCUACGGGAGGCAGCAGUGGGGAAUAUUGCACAAUGGGCGGAAGCCUGAUGCAGUAACGCCGCGUGCGGGAUGACGGCCUUCGGGUUGGAAACCGCUUUCGCCUGUGACGAAGCGUGAGUGACGGUAAUGGGUAAAGAAGCACCGGCUAACUACGUG
rnacentral:rRNA from 1 species